GUCGAGGAUCAUUGGCAAUGCGCGAAAGCGUGACCAUGCGACGCUGCGUGGAGGAUGAAGGCCUUCGGGUUGUAAACUCCUGUCAUGAGGGAAAAGAGACUCCGGUGUGAAUAUCACCGGAGUGCGAUUGUACUUCAGGAGGAAGCCACGGCUAACUCUGUGCCAGCAGCCGCGGUAAUACAGAGGUGGCGAGCGUUGUUCGGAUUUACUGGGCGUAAAGGGUGCGUAGGUGGUUCCGUAUGUCGGAUGUGAAAUCCCACGGCCUAACCGUGGAAUUGCGUCCGAAACUACGGUGCUAGAGUGCAGGAGGGGAGAGCGGAAUUCUUGGUGUAGCGGUGAAAUGCGUUGAUAUCAAGAAGAACACCGGUGGCGAAGGCGGCUCUCUGGAAUGCAACUGACACUGAGGCACGAAAGCUGGGGGAGCAAACAGGAUUAGAAACCCCGGUAGUCC
rnacentral:rRNA from 1 species